rnacentral:snoRNA from 1 species
UCAGUCCACUGACAAUGCCAGACGAUGAAACCCUGUCGUUGGUAGGCAUUUUUCCUUCGGGAUGGACUAAGAUUGAAAUGUUUUAACUAUCCUUGAUCCUGAAGAUAUCAAACCACUUCUUGUUCUCCUGGAAAUUAAAACAACACU